rnacentral:rRNA from 1 species
AGACGUCUACAUUAGAUACCCCCUGUAGUCCCAGCCGUAAACGAUGCGCGUUAGGUGUAUCGACGACCACGAGUCGUCGAGGUGCCGAAGGGAAACCGUGAAACGUGCCGCCUGGGAAGUACGGUCGCAAGGCUGAAACUUAAAGGAAUUGGCGGGGAGCACCACAACGGGUGGAGCCUGCGGUUUAAUUGGACUCAACGCCGGGAAGCUCACCGGAUAAGACAGCGGAAUGAUUGCCGGGCUGAAGACUCUGCAUGACUAGCUG